AAUUUGAUAUUAUUUGUUCAAUAUCUAAUUUACUAUUUUUAUUCUAUGAUUCAUUAUAACCAUGGGUGUCAUGAUUUGGUUUUUGGGAUACAUUAAAGCCCUCCAAAAAUAAUUAUUAUUUUCCGUCCAAUGGGCCAACGCUUUUGGUCAUUUUUGAGUACCAAUUUUUAGUAUCACGGUUGUGGGCGUUUACUACGAUCAAUUUACGACCUAUUAGACUUUGAAUGAGAAAGACAUUAGUCUAUGGGACAAUAUGGAUGAUCUUGUUUUAUCCUGCACUAUUGAAUGGACCAGCGUUAUAAUGUCUGGUAAAAUUAAUGCAUUGAUGUAAUACAAUAGACUGGAGGCCCUACUAGAAGAGGAAAUUGAGCUACAUUACAAGAUGCAAGACUUGCCAUAAUGAUUGUGGAGGUUUUAAUUUUGCGAAAAGCCGGAAAAGAGGCCCUGUUUUUCAAUACGUCAUAUUUUUUUUUGAGGGAGGUCAUCGCAUGUGAGACCUGAACCUUAAGGCUCCUCUGGUAUCUCAACUAUUGAUAGUUUAAAUGCAUAUAUUUCCUUAGAUUGGACGAUUACCCUUUAAAGUACAAAUUUAACAAUUUUGUCGAGCGUACAGUUUCGUAUAGCAGGAGCUCCUCCAGUUUUAAGGCUGAGGUCGAAUCGUCUUUGUUCAGAGUUUGUAUAUCAUUAAGCAUUUUUCUCAUAUAUCUCUAUUUUUCUCUGACUUUUUGAAUUAAGAUCCUGCCUUGCCUGAAAUUCAGUGUGUCUCAGAGUAUUUCAUGGAGACAAAACUCCUCUUUCCAUUCUUAGACCGUAGUCUUGGAUAUAUCUUAUCGUGUAGUUCCAGGUUGAAGGGGGCCGUUCAACUGAUGGUAAAACAGGGAAGUGAUAUGAGAUGU
rnacentral:lncRNA from 1 species